rnacentral:rRNA from 1 species
CAGUCGCCACGGUAAUACAGAGGGUGCGAGCGUUAAUCGGAUUUACUGGGCGUAAAGCGUGCGUAGGCGGCUUCUUAAGUCGGAUGUGAAAUCCCUGAGCUUAACUUAGGAAUUGCAUUCGAUACUGGGAAGCUAGAGUAUGGGAGAGGAUGGUAGAAUUCCAGGUGUAGCGGUGAAAUGCGUAGAGAUCUGGAGGAAUACCGAUGGCGAAGGCAGCCAUCUGGCCUAAUACUGACGCUGAGGUACGAAAGCAUGGGGAGCAAACAGGAUUAGAGACCCCUGUAGUCCCUGUCUCUUAUAC